rnacentral:rRNA from 1 species
AGAAUCAACGCUGGCGGCGUGCCUAACACAUGCAAGUCGCACGAGAAAGGGGAGCAAUCCCUGAGUAAAGUGGCGCACGGGUGGGUAACACGUGAAUAAUCUACCUCCGAGUGGGGAAUAACUGAGAGAAAUCUUAGCUAAUACCGCAUAACACUUACGAGUCAAAGCAGCAAUGCGCUUGGAGAGGAGUUCGCGGCCGAUUAGUUAGUUGGCGGGGUAAUGGCCCACCAAGACGAUGAUCGGUA